CCACCACCAGAUUGAGUCAGACCUGAGAAUCUGCACUUUUAACAAGUUCCAGAUCAUGCUGUCGCUGACAAGGGAUCACUCUUUGUGAACCACUGACCUCAACUAGUUAUGGAACAGGAUUAACAUUCAUGAAGCAAAGGGAAGAGGAAUCAAGUGCAUCCAAGCAUAUAUCUGAAUUGGAAAGUGAAUUGAAAUAAGAUAGAGAGAAGAAAGAUGAAAGGCAUGGAAGGGGAAUGAGGAAGAAACAAGG